UACAGAGGGGGCAAGCGUUGUUCGGAAUUACUGGGCGUAAAGGGCGCGUAGGCGGCCUUCUAAGUCGAACGUGAAAUCCCCGGGCUCAACCCGGGAACUGCGUCCGAUACUGGAAGGCUUGAAUCCGGGAGAGGGAUGCGGAAUUCCAGGUGUAGCGGUGAAAUGCGUAGAUAUCGGGAGGAACACCUAUGGCGAAGGCAGCUCGCUGGGACGUUACUGACGCUGAGACGCGAAAGCGUGGGGAGCAAACAGG
rnacentral:rRNA from 1 species